GAGUCGUAGAAUUUAUAUCGAACGGACUCCCGGUCCCGAUUUUGAGGACUUCUACUCCUCGAAUUCUCUAAUUUCAUUUUCACUCCGAAAACUCUCCAUGCCUCUCUCCCCCAUCUCUCGAGUUUUCUUCAGUUCAUAGAUAAUUCAAGUGAUUAUUUGGAGUUUUCGUUGAAAUCGUUAAUUUCAUUUGGAUUCAGAUAGGAUUCAACUGGUUUCCCCUCUUGUUUGAAUUAUACGUAUGCGAUCUAAACAUGGAGUGCGAUUUUGUUUGGAAGAUCGGUGAAGUUUGAUUUGCAUCAAGAAUGAUGAUGGGAGACCGUUGAAUGUAUGGAAACAGGGAAGCAGAGAUGUAACUUUUCUCCGUUGAGAUUGGGAAAAACCAAUAUCACCAGUUGGUUUGAUUACCUCCGGAGACUCUAGGUCUUGCGAAUUACUGGAUUUAGCGGCGGGAAAUCAACUGCGGAUAUUGGUGUAUGCAAUGGAACUAAUCCGUACUCAGUUGCGAUCCCUUAGGUGACGGCGUUGCUCCAAUAAGUUUCAGAUGUCAGCAGCAGGGAUCCUGAGAACAGAUGGUUGAGAGGGAGAUGGCAUUUUGAUGUACAGUUGUAUGGAACCCAUGGGAUAAGAAAGCCAAGGCAUUGGCAGAUUUUGGGGAUGAGGAUUACAAGUCCAUGUUAUGUGGCUGCUGUGGUAUCUGUCAUUGUUGCACCAGUCUUACUGAUGCUACUGUACUUCUUUAUGUCUGCGUGGUUCUUGUACUAUUUUGCAUCAGUGGAGCUGAGGCUGGCAAUAAAGUGGUGCAGGGGGAAGCUUUGACAGCUCUAGGAUCAGUAGCUGAUUAGUCACAGGUUUCUGUUACCUUUGAAGAUGAAGGAGGUGCUCAAAGCAAGGGGAUCGGGAUAAAGCUUAUGGAUAGUCUCUAUCAAACUGGUUUGAGUUCCAAAUGGUGCCAGAGGAAUCACCCCUCAAAUGGUUUGUCUAUGUUUCCUCUUGUUGUCAUAUGUCUCUUGUAAUCCGUAGCAUGACAUAUAAUCGGGGGUUGUAGGUUGUUUCAGCAAUAAGAGCCCUGGUUUUGUCAGUCACAGUGAAAUCAAGGUUGUUUCAGCAAUAAGAGCCCUGGUUUUGUCAGUCACAGUGAAAUCAAGUGUAAAAAUUGAAGCGUUUUCUUCCUUCUGCGUCUUUUGAUUGUAUGGGCUGUCUUCUAAUUAGACAAUCUUUAUAUCUUGGUGACGCAAGGAACUUUGUUUCUGUUGGUGGCGGCAGUACCGAAGUUCGAAGGUUCCAUUCUAGUUUCCAUACCGCACAGAGUGGUUUAACCUUGACCAAGGUUAUUAGUUCUGGCUGUUGGCCCUUGAUUUCAAGGUACAGGGCAUUUUACGUACUCAAUCCCUGGGAGAGGACAUGACCCUAACAUGGAAAUUGUUCCCAAGUAAGUUAUUCAUUUUCCUUCGGAUAGAUAAUACUUGUUUCUUGGUUGCUAGAUACGCUUAAAUCUACCAUCAGAAAGAGAAAAAAAAAGCCAAUUCUGCUUAGAGUACUUGCCUGUGUUUCUCUGUCUCAGUUCAUCAAUACGUCCGGCGUUAGAGGUCCGUGUAUGUCCUUAUUGUCGUUAUCACUUGUACAAACUUGUUUUCGUGGUAACCAGGAUUAGUAUUCAGGUUGCUGGGUUGUGAUGGCUUGCUGCAGAAGAAGGCGUACAAAAUACUCUCCAUUAGUCUGGAGGUUGUCAUGGAUUCUCAAAGUCUUUGGAUUUUCAGAUUUGACAUCAUUCUCCAUUGUUAGUGGUUGACACUAUUUGCUUGUUCUUACUUGUAGUGCUUUAGGGAAUAGUCUAAAUGAGCUUUUUCUGAUGUUAAGGAUCUGUGUUUUGGUACCCUUGAUUUGAGUUACAAGUAGACUCUGCAGAAAUAUGUAAUUUUUCCAUUUUCUUGUUCAGAAAUGAAUUUGAUUCAGAUGGCAAUGGAAUAUAGUUUUUAUAUUAGCCUUUC